rnacentral:rRNA from 1 species
AUACGUAGGGUGCGAGCGUUAAUCGGAAUUACUGGGCGUAAAGUGUGCGCAGGCGGCGUCGCAAGUCGAGUGUGAAAGCCCCGGGCUUAACUUGGGAAUUGCGCUCGAAACUACGGUGCUGGAGUAUGGCAGAGGAAGGUGGAAUUCCACGUGUAGCGGUGAAAUGCGUAGAGAUGUGGAGGAACACCGAUGGCGAAGGCAGCCUUCUGGGCCAAUACUGACGCUCAUGCACGAAAGCGUGGGGAGCAAACA